CCUACGGGAGGCAGCAGUGAGGAAUAUUGGUCAAUGGACGGAAGUCUGAACCAGCCAUGCCGCGUGCAGGAAGCCGGCUCUAUGAGUUGUAAACUGCUUUUGUACAAGGGUAAACCUGAAUACGUGUAUUCUGCUGAAAGUACUGUACGAAUAAGGAUCGGCUAACUCCGUGCCAGCAGCCGCGGUAAUACGGAGGAUCCAAGCGUUAUCCGGAUUUAUUGGGUUUAAAGGGUGCGUAGGCGGAUUGAUAAGUUAGAGGUGAAAUGUCCGAGCUUAACUCGGGAACUGCCUCUAAUACUGUUGAUCUAGAGAGUAGAUGCGGUAGGCGGAAUGUAUGGUGUAGCGGUGAAAUGCUUAGAGAUCAUACAGAACACCGAUUGCGAAGGCAGCUUACCAAUCUAUAUCUGACGUUGAGGCACGAAAGCGUGGGGAGCAAACAGGAUUAGAUACCCGGGUAGUC
rnacentral:rRNA from 1 species